rnacentral:rRNA from 1 species
UACGAAGGGGGCUAGCGUUGUUCGGAUUUACUGGGCGUAAAGCGCACGUAGGCGGAUCGAUCAGUCAGGGGUGAAAUCCCAGGGCUCAACCCUGGAACUGCCUUUGAUACUGUCGAUCUGGAGUAUGGAAGAGGUGAGUGGAAUUCCGAGUGUAGAGGUGAAAUUCGUAGAUAUUCGCAAGAACACCAGUGGCGAAGGCGGCUCACUGGCCCGGUACUGACGCUGAGGCACGAAAGCGUGGGGAGCAAACAGG